rnacentral:rRNA from 1 species
AUUGAACGCUGGCGGCAGGCCUAACACAUGCAAGUCGAGCGGAUGAAGGGAGCUUGCUCCUGGAUUCAGCGGCGGACGGGUGAGUAAUGCCUAGGAAUCUGCUUGGUAGUGGGGGAUAACGUCCGGAAAUGGGCGCUACUACCGCAUACGACCUGAGGGAGAAAGUGGGGGAUCUUCGGACCUCACGCUAUCAGAUGAGCCUAGGUCGGAUUAGCUAGUUGGUGGGGUAAAGGCCUACCAAGGCGACGAUCCGUAACUGGUCUGAGAGGAUGAUCAGUCACACUGGAACUGAGCCACGGUCCAGACUCCUACGGUAGGCAGCAGUGGGGAAUGUUGGACAAUGGGCGAAAGCCUGAUCCAGCCAGGCCGCGUGUGUGAAGAAGGUCUUCGGAUUGUAAAGCACUUUAAGUUGGGAGGAAGGGCAGUAAGUUAAUACCUUGCUGUUUUGACGUUACCAACAGAAUAAGCACCGGCUAACUUCGUG